AUGGCUAAAGAGUUAAUCAGGGGAAUUUCUCCACAAACAGACAGGUAUUUUCCUUUCCAUGGUAGCACGAUCUUGUCUAUUUCUGCUAACUUUCUAUAAAAAUGUAUUGUAGUGAGAUCAUUUAGAUCGGUAAAUGGCUUUUGUUGAUUCGACAUUGCAGCCCACUUAUGAGUAUCCAAGGCUAACUUCCAGGUCUCCAGGUCUCCUCGUUCACUAAAAUAAAUAAAUAAAGAUUAUGUUCAUUUCAGGGACUCAAUGUCCCAUGACGUGUAAGGUGUCAUGGAAACAUCUACUUUGACAUGAAACUGUUUCCUGUUUGGGCCGACAGUGUAAGGUGACUCCAAGGUCCCUUUGUGGCCUUAAUUCUCCAGACCAACGGUGUAAUCAGACUGUCGUCUCUGACUAGAGAACAUACCCGUCACAGAACACUGAGGUCAGGGGGAUGCAGGCCUGCAAGAGUAAAACAUCCAAUCAAGACACCUGAUUCCAUCAUCAAAAUCGCAGUGCUUGAGUUGGCUGGAGACUGGACAGUUGAACAAUCUGGUCCGUCCUGGGCUGUGACAAGUGUCAUUCUCAGGGUUUCUGUCAUGAAGGACAACCACUAGGUAAAGUACCCCAGGUGGUUUGAUUCCUCCCUUUGUUAUGUUUACUAACGCCAAAUAGAUUUGGUCAAUCCAUAUUUCAUUUCCUGUGUGUUCUCCGGGGAUUCAUCUCCCGUGGCUUGACCUUGUCAGUCAGUCUGGCUACGUCUGUCUCCCCACCUGUGGAAACGGCUGCUGCUUCCUUCGCAAAUGUCCUCAAAGGGAGUUGAUGGGACCAUUUUUACAGCUUAUGAUGAUACACAAUAACAAAAACACCCCAUAACAAUAAAAAGGCAUAAAGUAUUAGUAAAUUUGAUCAAAGUCAUUUCAAUUUCCAUUUGUCAUUUUGUUGAAAUGGUUAUAAGAAAGUCAGAGGCAUCGACACCACGUUUUGUGAACUAGAACCAAGCAUGCAUAGCCUGUGUAAU
rnacentral:lncRNA from 8 species